GGUUAUUCAACAAAAACGACCCUCUUUUUGUUUCCUUGAAUCCUUCUAGUACACCCAGUGACCACCCAGAUCACCACCGCUUACUACCGCAAAUGCAGGCCACUGUCUGGCCACCAAUGACCGUGCAACCACAACCAUUCUUCUCCUCGGAGCAACGCCGCCUUCAUUAGGCAUUUCAACAUAAGAUGAUUGUUACUCUUGGAUUUUAUGUCUACAAUUUAUACUUGCACUGUUUGAUAUUGCAUCAUACUUUAUCAUGAUAUGCUUUUCUUUUAUUUGGUUAAGAAUAUCAUGUCUUCAUGUCAAAUUAAAUCACUCUGCCACCAAUGUAUCAUGAUGACAAUUAAAUAGAGAUUGCUCUGAAUAAUGCAAGGAAGCUAUACCCUUGUUGAUAUAUGAUGCUGCGCUAAGAAAUUUUAGUACAGAGGAUGAAGAUGACAAGAGUUUGAGCAGAAUGGGGAAGGAAAGUGAAUGGCAAGUGAAGAGGAUUGCUUGUGUUUAAAUAAUACCCCUUUUUUGACAUAAAAUAUUCAAUAGAGUUUGUGUGUGAUUGCUUCCA
rnacentral:lncRNA from 1 species